UUUGGGGUAAAUAAUCAUAUAGAGCUGGGCAACAUAUUGAUAUUAUAUCGAUAUUGUGAUAGGAGACUAGAUAGCAUCUUAGAUUUUGGAUAUCGUAAUAUGGCAUAAGUGGUGUCUUUUCCUGGUUUUAAAGGCUGCAUUACA